GCCGGGUUCGUCUAGUGGCUAGGACGCCAGGUUCUCAUCCUGGUAACACGGGUUCGAUUCCCGUACCCGGUACCA
rnacentral:tRNA from 1 species